rnacentral:siRNA from 1 species
AGGUGGUACAGAGUGGACAUCUCC